rnacentral:rRNA from 1 species
UACGGGGGGGGGGCAAGCGUUGUCCGGAAUUAUUGGGCGUAAAGAGCUCGUAGGCGGCCUGUUGCGUCCGCUGUGAAAUCCCAGGGCUUAACCCUGGGCGUGCAGUGGAUACGGGCAGGCUGGAGGCAGGCAGGGGAGAACGGAAUUCCCGGUGUAGCGGUGAAAUGCGUAGAUAUCGGAAGGAACAUCAGUGGCGAAAGCGGCUUCCUGGACCAGUACCGACGUUCAGGCACGAAAGCGUGGGGAGCAAACAGG